rnacentral:lncRNA from 1 species
GAUUUUUCUUUAAUGAAAAGGAUUCGUUUUUCCAAAUUCUAUUUCCAAAGCCGAGGAGAUUGCCGGGCUGGAGCGCAUCGUUGGUGACGCUUGCCCGUCGGACCCUGGCAGCGGCUGGAGGAGGCUCAGCCCAUCGGUCCGUCCGGAGGGGCUUGCGGGAGGGGUUGGUUUGUUUGGGAUUUAGGGGUUGGUUGAGGAUUUGUUUUGUUUAGGUAGGGAGUAUUGGGGUGAUAAGUUAGAACAACUGCGAAACGAGUUAGCGGGCGCAUUCGGCCGGCCUCUUCUUUCACCCCCGACUUCAUGCGGCUUGGGCUGAGGGCGGACCACAUUCGGCCCCGCCGCUGCGUGCCGGCUUCGUUCCGGCCGAAAUUUGAAAGGAGGAAAAACGACGCGAUCGACUGAAGGACCCUGCCGGCCGGGACUGGUCACCCGCAGAGAAGGAAGAAGGACGAGGAUGCGGAUGGCGGCGCUGGUGGCAGGGACCGGCGUCUCUGUGCGCGCGGGCCGGGACCGCGAUCCUCGCGCUGGGGCCAGCCAGCCGCCGCCCCGAGAGGUCUCGCCCGCGCUGAGCCCUGUCCCUGGGGCCCCCGCCCCUGUUGCGCCCGGAGCUCAGCCACAGAUGUCCAGCCACAAUUCUCGGUUGGCCGCAGACUCGUACAAGAAUUGCGUUUGGACAAUCAGUGGCGAAGCCCCUGAGUUCAGGGCCCUGGUCUCCUGCGGGGUUCCCCUUCGCUCCUAAAAAGCGCCAGUCCAGGACAGCUCGGAGCUGCGCGUCGGACCACCUAGCAGGCGCUCAGCAGCGGCUGCCCAUCCGGCGGUAAGGUGGACUAGCAAGCACGCGGAUCCUGACCCUGUGCGGGGAUCCCCAUCGCCCCUGGCGUGGCUCCUUCGAUCGCGGCCCGGAGUCCGCAGAGUGGCCCGCGUUGGGUCUCAGCGCCGCCCCAGGUCGAGGGGGAAUCUCCUCUGUCUGGCCUGGGGAACCCCGACUCCCCUCUCCCUGCCCCCAGCCUGGGAUCUCCGGGAAUCCGGAAGGCAGGAGCCCCAGGCCGGGUCGCGUUUCCGAGCCCGGGGUCCGGGCUGCUGGAUUCGUGGGUCCCCCGCCCCCGCCCAGCCCCGCGCACGCACCGGCUCGGGCGCUCUCCGCUUUCCUGUGGCUGAGUCGCGGCCGGGGCGCCUGCGGUGGCGGUGGCGGCGGUGGCCCGGGCGGCGGGGAGUGCUGGAAUGCGCCGCCGGGUCACCUGCAGCGCCCGUGGAGCCGGACUGGGAGCCGGCGGGCUGCCGAGGCGCAAGGCUGAACCCGAGCAGGCGCCUCUGGCGGCUCGGGGCCGGGGCGGGCUUUUAGUGGGCCGCUCCAACAAUACGGGCCUGGCGCGGAGAAAGGGGCUCGGCUGCAAUUGGUACUGGAUUUGAAUAACGCCACGGGGCCAUCAAUGGUCAUUGUGUCGGCGGGUAAUGAAUCUCCGCUGUCUCUCGGGCUGGCCAGGCAGCUGCAACCUGCGCUCAGGCAGCUCUUAAAGACAUAGCGUGCCCCUCCCCGGGGGCCGCCUCCCCCUCUGCACCGGCCGGACCCCUCGUCCUCCCACCCCCACUCGGCACCCUCAACUCCCGAUGCCCCGCCUGCUCCCUCGGCCUGACCCCUUUGCCCAUCGCCCCCUCCCUUCUCCUGGGCCAGGCACCAGCAUCCCGGCCCUGCUCUCCCGUGGACCUGACUCAGGCCCCGGCCUUGGCUGAGCUCUCCAAGAGCACCCAGGGCACCCCAGAGUCUUUUACGGCCCACCCCCUGUCUCCCAGCUGCAUGGAAACCAAAGGCCUCUGGAGCCCCCUCCCUAGGCCCCUGCCCAGGGGCUUCCACUGGAGGGUGAGGGGGAACAGUCUGGAAGUCAGAGGGUCACCCCCUGAGAAGACCAUGCUGAAGGAUAAAGGAGAAGGGGGUACAGUCCCCACCCCUGGGCUGAGGAUGCCAUCCCUGGAGACCACACCCCACGCGGGAGCUGGAGCCUGCCCCCUCCCCCGACCAAGGACCAGAGCUUGAUUCCCAGGCUCCAGCAGGCUCCUGGGUACCUCGGGGCUAGCAGCAAGGGUGGGGGGAGGGGAGCAGGUGGGUGUGAGAGGGGCGUGGAAUCUGUGAAUGCUUGUCUUGUCAUUGUCUCUUCCAUUGGACAGUCCACCCAUCCAGGAGAGCAGGGGCUCUGUCCAAGGUCUAAUGCGCCCCCAGCCCCACCCCCAGCCUGGUCUGGCAGAGACGGUUCUCAGUCUAUUGGGUGCCAUGGCUGGUGUCCAUAAUCCCAACACUUUGGGAGGCCGAGGCUGGAGGCCAAGGCAGGAAGAUUGCUUGAAGCCUGAAGUUAAAUACCAGCCUGUGACAGGAGGAAACAGGCCCAGAGAAGGGAAGUGACUUG